rnacentral:rRNA from 1 species
AUGUCGCGCUACUGGUGGGGUGAUGAGGACGAUCAGCGCAAAAUGCAUUGGGUCGCUUGGUGGAAGAUGUGCAUCCCGAAAGAAAAAGGUGGAAUGGGGUUUAGAGAUAUCCAUGCUUUCAAUCUUGCACUUUUAGCAAAACAAUGCUGGAGGUUGAUUGAGAAUUAUGACUCGCUGUGUGCAAGAGUGUUGCGUGCAUGAUAUUAUCCCACGGGCGAUAUCCUUAACUGCACGUUAAAGAAGGGUUCUUCCUUUGUUUGGCAGAGCAUAUUUGAAGGCAUACAAACUUUCAAGAAAGGAAGCAUCUGGAGAGUCGGGGACGGCACAAAGAUAGACAUUUGGGAGGAUAGUUGGAUACCAAACAGCCCAACAAGAAAGGUCUUAUCACGACGAGGUAACUGUCUAUUAACACAUGUGAGCGACCUGAUAGACCCUAUAUCAGGUGAUUGGGAUGAGUAG